CAAAGAGAAAGUGUUGGAAUUCAAGGAUUUGAUCAAGCAAAGGUGAUGAGCAAAUUACAUUGGUAAAAGUACAGAGAUUGUGUUUGAAGACUGAGAUUAGGAGUACAUCGACUCUUAGUACUGAAUAUUUGGAUUGGGGACAAAAUUUUCACAAAUUCUACGUUUCUUGAAUGAAGGGUAUUCAAUAAGAGAGGAGGUUUCGAGUUACUUACCCUGAAUUGGAUGUUGAGGUUGCCACUGAAGCAUGGGUUUGUUGGCAUCUCUGGAAAUGUUCAUGUUGUAAUUUGAUAACAUGAAACCAACUCUG